ACCGGCGCACGGGUGAGUAACACGUAUCCAACCUGCCGUCUACUCUUGGACAGCCUUCUGAAAGGAAGAUUAAUACAAGAUGGCAUCAUGAGUCCGCAUGUUCACAUGAUUAAAGGUAUUCCGGUAGACGAUGGGGAUGCGUUCCAUUAGAUAGUAGGCGGGGUAACGGCCCACCUAGUCUUCGAUGGAUAGGGGUUCUGAGAGGAAGGUCCCCCACAUUGGAACUGAGACACGGUCCAAACUCCUACGGGAGGCAGCAU
rnacentral:rRNA from 1 species